CCCUUAGAUGUUCUGGGCCGCACGCGCGCUACACUGAUGCAUUCAACGAGUCUAAAACCUGGUCUGAUAGGGCUGGGUAAUCUUUUGAAUGUGCAUCGUGAUUGGGAUAGAUGAUUGCAAUUCUUAAUCUUCAACGAGGAAUGCCUAGUAAGCGUGAUUCAUCAAAUCGCGUUGAUUACGUCCCUGCCCUUUGUACACACCGCCCGUCGCUCCUACCGAUUGAGUGUGUUGGUGAGGAGUUUGGAUUGGCCUCGGAAGGUGGUUCGCCACCGUCCGUAGCUGAGAAGUUCUCCAAACCGCCCCACUUAGAGGAAGGAGAAGUCGUAACA
rnacentral:rRNA from 1 species